AUACUAAUGAUUUAUUUUUAUUCAAAUUGAGAAGAUAAAUUCAGUAUGAAAAAUAAUAUUAAAAUACUUUUCACAACUUAAGACCACAUAGAGAUGGUAAAGAAGUUAUCAAACAGUCAUGCCUCGUAAUAUCUAAGCUUAUCACGUGAGGUUCCUCUCAUGCACCUUCAUAAAUAGCACUAAAUAUAAACUCUAGAUGCAGAACACGUACACGGAUCCAUCCACCAUUCACUUUGCUUUAAAGAUUCGGUGGUUGCACGCCCACGGGAUAUUUGCUUACUUUCUCCUCACCUGCUUCAACAACCUUCUCAAUCUCGGCCUUCUUUUUAUCCUGGUACAUGGCUUCAUUGCUCUCUGGUCUCAAGAUUAAAUGAUUAGUUGAACCCAACUGGUCCUCCAAUGUAGACAGCAUACAGAUUGCUCAAAGAAGAUGACAUGGCCAUGGUCGGAUUUGCCAGUUCCAGGUUGCCAGAAAACAAGAAUAUGAUAGAAAUAAUACAUUGUUCAAGCACAGGAUAGAAUAACUUCCAAACAAUUUAUAUGGUGUUUCUUGUCAUUCAUGCGUUAACCGAACAAAAUUUUGCUUUAAUGAUUAUGUGAUACAAUUCAUCGAAUUGACAAACUAAAAUGAAUUUUUCAUAACCAAAUGAUACAAAUGGAUCGUGAUUAGUGAUUAUGGGAAAGAAAAAAAAAAUUCCAAUGGGUGCAUGGCAUGCAAAUCUGAUUAUUAACCAGUCUCAGCUGCAAUAUACAGACCAGGGCAGGCAACUGAAAUCCUAACCAAAAUAUCUGCCUCUCCUGCAUUUGAGACUCACUCUUUUUCCUUCUAAAGAGAAAUUACAACUGCCUUCUAGCUUCUGUUUCAAGUAAGCAAGAGCAUCUCUCCUCGAAGAGAAAUUGGAAAAAAAAUAAGAUGAAUGCUCUUCAAUGAGAACUUUCAGCUUUUUUAGCUUUAGUGACUCUCCUGGUGCCUGACGUAGAAGCUGCUUACACAGCUUUUUCAAAUUCAAUUUUUUCUCAUCAGUGAUUUUCAUUUCUGGAGUGCUGUCAUGUUUUCGUUUUCCUAAGGAACCAAAAUCAGCAGAAUCCUCAUUAUCAACUUUUUCUUCAUCAACAUUUUCCAUUGCUGGAUUAUCGUCACUUUCCUCUUCUGCUAAGGAAUCAAAACCAGCAGAAUCUAUAUCAUCAGUAGCAGAAUCCUCAUCAUCACUGUUGCUAAAAGAUGUCUUUUUUCCCUGAAAGCGGACACCAGCUACUUUCUUUGGCUGAUCUUUAAUACCCAGUCCUUGCUUUCCAGCUGUGGCUUUGUACUGGAAAUUGUAGAAGCAGAAAAAUUGCAUUAACGGACAGCAAAUUCUACAUUGGCUCACUCCUCCACCGUGCCCCGGUCAAAAUGUAACCUAGCAACUACUAAAAUAUAACUUAUACUUCACUGCACUCAUUUUGCUUUAUUUAGGACAUUCAACAGCACAGCAAGAGAAUCAUAAAUAUAUCAAACAAAACCUAGCAAACAGGAGGGGUCAAAAUUCCAAAGAAAGAAUUUGAAAAGUAAAUACUUGGACAAGUUUGUAAAGGUUCUCCUGAUCUUCUUCAAGGAAUCCAGUCCUCUCAUUAAAAUUUUGAGCAUUUCCAGUUCUAUUUGACUUCUUUGUAGUUUGAGUUCCAAGAAAACCUCCUGAGACAAAUCCUGAUUUAUAGCCCCACCAUUCUUUAGAAACUUGUUCAGCUUUGGAUUCUGCGAAAUGCACUGAAGUCACUUCUUAAACAAUCGACUAAAUGACCAUUUCCAGCUCAAAAUCAAACACUCAUAAUUGUUGAGAAAAUCAAGGAUUUACAACAUUACAUUUACAGAACACAUACAUGAAGGAUAGACUUGAAUAUUCAAAAUGUCAUCACCAUUCACCAAUUAAGAAUAAGUGUUAAACAUAAGAAAAUCUAGAGCUGCAGCAUUGCUUUCACACAAAACAUAAAUAAAGGAUUGAAUUGAACAUUAAAAAACGUAAUUACCAAUUAGAAAGAAGAAAAGUGUCAUAUAUUAAUAUUUUUACCUCCAGGAUAAAAAAUUUCAGUCUCAAAUGCUUCUGCGAACUUCAGUUUAUUUUCCACAUUAGGAUUUGUCUGGGAUGACUCCUCAACCUUUUUGAUCUGCAGGGGAAAAAAAUUUGAACUCAGAACCUUAUUUAAUCCAAAUUGAAUUAGAAAUAUGAAAAAACAUGUCAAGCCCUUUAAAAAGACAAAAAGGACACAGGGAGUAAUCUGUAGCAGACAAUCUGAUGAUCAUCUUGGAGAAUCCAGAUUUUGAAUGAGAUAGUAACAAGCAACCUUCAGCAUUUCAGCCAUAAAAUUCAACAUAUAACACAAUGGAACUAUUGAAUACAUCAGAAUUUCUGCUACUAUUUAACAAAUGUGUAUUCAGCAAUGUUUAGAACUUACUAGAAUUCCUUCAAGAUCCUUUGAAGAAUAAGCAUGGACAAGCUUCCCUCUCUCUCUUUUCUUAUAUCUGAUAACCGUUGGAGAAGAAAAAUAUACAAAAACAUAUGGCAUUAAACAAACAAUUGCUAAUAGACAAGUCAUAGGUGAUAAGCAGAUGCAAUUUACACAACUAAAACUUCAUCCAAAACUAAUUACCAUUGACUACAUAAAUACCAAACUAAUAAGCAGAAUUACAGACACAAAAGUCAAAAACAGCUGCACCUACCUUCCCUGUGGUCGAGUAGCCUUGACAAAUGGUUCUUGAUGAUCACUAGAUAUGCCAGUCUCUGUUUUUUCUUGUGUAUCCUUCUUCUCAACAACUGCUAGUGCGAGAGAUUAUGGUUCUCAGACAAUAAUUAUAACCUAGAUACCUAAUUACUAUGGUAUCAAAAUUCCAAUGUGCCAUACCUUCAUCAGAUGCAUGUGCAGCUUGCACUUUCAAUCUCUUGAGAAUACUAUCAAAUUGAGUAGUAUCAAAUGCCCAAUUGUUUGGCUUCUCUACACCAACACCUGUUUCAAAUUUUGUUUAAAAAAAAAAUGAGCAUGUACUUCCAAGAGGUAAGCAAAAAAAUAAGCUGCCCAACACCUUGCGCGUGUUUCCCUUUGCCAACAGAAGCAUUUCUCUAAGGGAAAUCUCCUCUUCUAGCAUCAUGAGUGAGUAUAUUUGCUUACAUUAACUUGAAAUCUGUUAUUAAAAAAUUCCUACACAUUUUCCAUUGCCACAUAUUUUCUCAUCAACCAAACACGGCAUAACAUAUAGAUUACAAAACAGAACAAAAUAAAGAAAGGAGAAUAUUAAAAAGAAAUUAAAAAAACAAAAAGGAAAACUUGAAUUACCAGUAGUGUCUUGUUUGUUCUUGACUCUGACGUAUCCCUUGAUCCCCUGCUUGUCUUUCCCUAGCCCCUCUCCUUCUUCCCAUCCCAUUUGUUUCAUGAGGCGAAAAGCAGGGGAUGCUCUUGCGACGCCGACAUAGCACAGAGGGGCUUCAGGUGCGGCCAUUUUUGCCGCGUUUGUUUCUUCUUCUUUGUUUCGCUGGCGAGCAGUCGCCCUUUUUAGAAGUAGGAAGAGUGAGGACACAAAUGUUUUGCAGAACUGAGAGAGGCAAAAACCUAGAGAGGGGAGGUGAAAAAAAU
rnacentral:misc_RNA from 1 species